CAGCCGCCACGGUAAUACGAAGGGUGCAAGCGUUAAUCGGAAUUACUGGGCGUAAAGCGUGCGUAGGCGGUUUGUUAAGUCUGUUGUGAAAUCCCCGGGCUCAACCUGGGAAUGGCAAUGGAUACUGGCAAGCUAGAGUGUGUCAGAGGAUGGUGGAAUUCCCGGUGUAGCGGUGAAAUGCGUAGAGAUCGGGAGGAACAUCAGUGGCGAAGGCGGCCAUCUGGGACAACACUGACGCUGAGGCACGAAAGCGUGGGGAGCAAACAGGAUUAGAUACCCCUGUAGUCCCUGUCUCUUAUAA
rnacentral:rRNA from 1 species